UGGAAUCACUUUGUCCUUCCUCAGCCGAGUUGAAUACAGAUGACGAAAAUGCCCUGGCGUCCGUCGCCGGUGCGGGCGUUCGUCGCCGCGGGUGUUCGUCGCCCUGAAAAAUCCGUAUCCUCGUGUUCUUGUGAUUGUUCGUCGAUCCUCGGUUCCAACAUUGAUGGCAUAGACUUGUCAAAUUUUGUUUGUCGGAUGAUCUUGCAGUCAACAUAUACACUGUUUAUUUUAUAUGGCUGUAGCAACCGUGGGCGGAGUUAGAUCAUUUCAUUGUUCAAAUCAGUUUUGUAUAGACUUAACAUGUUAAUUUUAACGUAAGACUGUAGCCAUUUCUUGUUAGUUUAUUAUUUGUAUUAUGUUUGUG
rnacentral:lncRNA from 1 species